GAUGAACGCUGGCGGCGUGCCUAAUACAUGCAAGUCGAGCGAACGGACGAGAAGCUUGCUUCUCUGAUGUUAGCGGCGGACGGGUGAGUAACACGUGGAUAACCUACCUAUAAGACUGGGAUAACUUCGGGAAACCGGAGCUAAUACCGGAUAAUAUUUUGAACCGCAUGGCUCAAAAGUGAAAGACGGUCUUGCUGUCACUUAUAGAUGGAUCCGCGCUGCAUUAGCUAGUUGGUAAGGUAACGGCUUACCAAGGCAACGAUGCAUAGCCGACCUGAGAGGGUGAUCGGCCACACUGGAACUGAGACACGGUCCAGACUCCUACGGGAGGCAGCAGUAGGGAAUCUUCCGCAAUGGGCGAAAGCCUGACGGAGCAACGCCGCGUGAGUGAUGAAGGUCUUCGGAUCGUAAAACUCUGUUAUUAGGGAAGAACAUAAGUGUAAGUAACUGUGCACAUCUUGACGGUACCUAAUCAGAAAGCCACGGCUAACUACGUG
rnacentral:rRNA from 1 species